CACGUAGGGGGCAAGCGUUGUCCGGAUUUAUUGGGCGUAAAGAGCUCGUAGGUGGUUCGGUAAGUCGGGUGUUAAACCCCCAGGCUCAACCUGGGGACGCCACUCGAUACUGCUGUGACUAGAGUCCGGUAGGGGAGCGUGGAAUUCCUGGUGUAGCGGUGAAAUGCGCAGAUAUCAGGAGGAACACCAGCGGCGAAGGCGGCGCUCUGGGCCGGUACUGACGCUGAGAAGCGAAAGCGUGGGGAGCAAACAGG
rnacentral:rRNA from 1 species